rnacentral:rRNA from 1 species
GAUGAACGCUGGCGGCGUGCCUAAUACAUGCAAGUCGAGCGAACAGACGAGGAGCUUGCUCCUCUGACGUUAGCGGCGGACGGGUGAGUAACACGUGGAUAACCUACCUAUAAGACUGGGAUAACUUCGGGAAACCGGAGCUAAUCCCGGAUAAUAUUUUGAACCGCAUGGUUCAAAAGUGAAAGACGGUUUUGCUUUCCCUUAUAGUUGGAUCCGCGCCGCAUUGGCUAGUUGGUAAGGUAACGGCUUACCAAGGCAACGAUGCGUAGCCGACCUGAGAGGGUGAUCGGCCACACUGGAACUGGGACACGGUCCAGACUCCUACGGGAGGCAGCAGUAGGGAAUCUUCCGCAAUGGGCGGAAGCCUGACGGAGCAACGCCGCGUGAGUGAUGAAGGUCUUCGGAUCGUAAAACUCUGUUAUUAGGGAAGAACAAAUGUGUAAGUAACUAUGCACGUCUUGACGGUACCUAAUCAGAAAGCCACGGCUAACUACGUG